CUGAUCUGGCUGGAUCUGCAGCUGUGGGCAGGGUUCAUUGGUUCUCAACAAAUCUGUGCGUGUUCUUGGCAGCGUUUGCUGAAUUGGAAUCAUCUGUUCAAAAUACCAGGAAGAACUGCAAGGAGCACCAGAGCAAAUGUACUUCUAAUCUGUGCUUAAGGUCAUGAUAAUGGUACCCCAUGGGCCUUUGUUGCCUCACUAUGGAUGCAUUUUACUCUUAUUUCACAGUACCUACAAGGAACAAGCAACUCCGCUGGAUAAACACACAUGGUUUCCUGUUCAAGUAACAAAUUUUGUCCUUAGUUUAAUAUUUUCUGGUGUUCCCUGAUACAGAAAUUAGAGCUGCUUAUAUUUGCUGUCUGCUUCCAGAAGAUCCAGUUGCUGCCUAAAAAACUCGUGGACACUGAGUACAACCAAGGCACAAACAGGCCUGAAUUUCAGCUCUUUGCUGGAUUGAUUCUUAAGCCUGAGCACUUGAUAAAACACUCAGUAGCAAAACCUCUUUGUCCAGCCUGAGGACAGCACUGGCAGACACCCAGCCCUUUCAUGUGGGCAGAAAUGAAAUGCAGCAACAUGUGCGCGUGUGACCAACCUGCAGAAUCACCGAGGUUGGAGCUGUGUUUUUAUGGUUUUCUUUUUCUUUACUAACGAGUCCCAGGGCAUUUUGCAGAAUGCACGUUGUAGCCAUGGGCUGAGCCCUGUGCCCAGCUCGGGGCCGGGACGUGUUGGCAUUUCAGCGCCAGCGACACUUUGCUCUGGUUGUUACAAGAGGAAGCAAAGAACAGAAGUUCCCCGUCUGAAACCGCGGGGGGAAAUUUAGUGUGGUAGAAUGUAAUUAUCCAAACUGGAACAUGGCCAGGAUCCUGGAGUUAAUAACACCCUCUGCUCUUGCAAAAAGUGUCAUAGGAUCUUUAAUGACUGUUAGUGGUCAGCGGGCUUCACAUCACAUCUCCAGGACUGAUACUGAGCAGAUCAGGAGUGCGGGUAUUCCCAUCUGUCGUGUAUCACAAAUAUCUGCAUGGCCUGUGGCUGCAGCCUUCAGGUUGAGGAGAGAAUUGAGCUGAACAGCCAGGGAGGAGACAUUAGUCUUAAUGAAAAUGAUCCCAUUAAAGGCAGAUGACGUGCAGUUGAUGAAGAACAGCUGAGAUGUUCGCUGAAGUGCCCAUAAGAUAGUAUUUGGGGUCCACCAAAUCACCAAAUCUUCAGUGACCAUCAACAUGGUGUAGUUCGGAGGAAUGGAACAAAAAAAGGUUUACAGCAUCCUCUGUGUAAUAGGAUCAAUAGGAUGUGGAAAUCUGUAGUAUGAAUUUACCCUGAUUUCUGUAGUACUGGGAACUAUGUGCAAAUGAGUUGGGAAGUGGGUGUAAGUGGUAAGAUUGCGUUGUGCUAAUUAGCCUGGCAUUGAUGAACUGUACAAAGCCUGGGAACUUCCACAGCAGGAAAGAGAGCACAUCACAGAGAAUCCCUUUCGUCACAAGUGACUUGUGCCACGGGACUUCAAUUAAAAACCAGACCAGGCCACUUUUAAUCGCUUUAAUGAGAAAUUACUUUUUAAAAAAAGAUAAUCUUUGUUAAUCUGUCUGUCCUCUUCUAGCAGUGCAGCCCAUCAUGAUGGGAGAUGAGGUGCUAAUUAUCUGUCUUGGCUGCUUUUUCUGAUCACAAGGUUUGUUAUUCUAUCCUGCACCUGGCACCACGGGCUCUGGUGUUUGGGAUCAGUGGGCAUUACUACAGUGCCAGCUGUAAUAAAGAGUAGAAGGCCAACGAUCCUGUAUGUUGUUAAAAUGAAGAAAGACUUGCACAGUUCUCCCCCUUUGUACAUCCCAGUACAUUGGUACUUACACCAUAACAGUAUUAUCUCAGGGAAUAUAAGUCUGCUACAGGAUAUUGCCACUUUAACCACCUGAACUGCCUUUUAGUUCCAGUUUCAACUCAGUGUCAAAAAUAUUACCCUGUUUAAGAUUAAUUUGUGACAAAAUGUCAUAUUAAUACAGCUAUAUUUCCCAGGGGAUAAAUAUGGCCUUUUGAAGAGCAGCCAUGGCUGAGUGCUAUAUAGGACUAUAGAGAAUUAUCAACAGGCUUUUGCCUUAGCAAAUGUCAUGCUACCAGAAGAAUGGAGCAGUUUGCAGUGGCAUCCAGCCAGUACCCUCUCAUGAGGAAGAAUCAAUUUGCAAGGUAUUGAGUAAGUCCUUGGGCUAUGCUGUGGAGAGGUGACCACCCAUGAAAGCCACUGACAUGAAAAAAAUGCAAGAAUCAUAUAGACCAGCAUGAAUUGGGACUUGGACAACAAGAACCUUGGACCACAAGGACUUCAGAUACCCACAGAAACAAGGACUCAGAUACCUGGAGAGAGCUGGGGAGGAUUUCUAGGCUGUAUCCUACCCUGGCUCCUUCUGGACCUACAGCCUGGACUGAGGAAUAUGUACCAGUGGAGAUGUGUUUGCUGGAGAAAUUGUUCCUGAGAUACGGUUUCCUGAGGGACACAACACAUUCCAUUCCUGGGAGAGUGAUGGGCACAUCUCAGCUGGCUAAUCAAAAGUGGUCUGCAGAAGGCCUCAGUGACUUGGAUGGCAGUUCUGAGACUCCCCCAGCCUCAGCAAACUUUUCUGAUCCAAGGAACAAAAAAAAACAAAGAUGUGUCACAAGCCUGACUGGAUAUGGGAACUGGGAAGACAGAGCUCAUUCAUCAAGAAGCCUGGAAGUCUCCCAGGGAAAGGUGGAAAACAAAUUAGUGUCUCAUCUUGAAGCUCCUAUAGGUUGUCCAGGACUGAACUGUUCCAAGUAAGGAAAACAACUUUCAUUUCUGGGAGACAUCUGUCUUGCUUCUACUCUGUUACACAGAGCUUUCUCAAAAGGAGAGGUAGUCAGGACUUAGAGUCUGCCUUUCUUAGGCAGAUCCUAUUUUUCCAGUGCUAAAUGAGCAUUUACCAGAGCUGCCUUCUGAGGUUGGUGUUGAAGAUUUGGGAUUUGCAAAGUUGGCUUUCCUUUCCUGGAAGGAAAUGCAGACCCCUUUUGUAACACCCCUUAAAAAAUGUCCUGUUCUAUUCCUUGUGGACAUCUCCUCCUGGCACCAGCUGGUGAUCCACUUACAAGCAGGAAGAUGGAUAGCUCUGAGGA